AGAGGGAACUGGUAUUGAUAUGUAAAAUAAUAUUGUUUCUAAUUUAAAUAAAUAUGUUUUAAAAAUCAAAAUUUCUACACAAGGACCACAUAUAUAAUGAAGAUGGCAUGCAGCAUUGUAGAAAGUUAAAGGAAUAGUCUGAAGGCAGGUAUAGUAACUUAAACAUGCUUAUUCUGUAUGACAUAACCACAAGAUUAUAUCCUAGAAGACACUAUAUUAUGUUAUGUUAUAUUAUAUUAUAUUAUAUUAUAUUAUAUUAUAUCAGUUAACAGAAAUACUUUUAGGUACACCAGUAUCUUUCAGAAGUGGUGUUUCGGCUAUUCUCAGAAUCAAGUGUUAAAAAUAUAUAUUUUGGGUGGUUCCACAAUAUUUAGAUAUAAAUGAGUGAUAAAAUUCUGACUUUAUGGAGGUGAGGUAUCAGCAGUUACCAUUUAAGAUCAAGGUGAAUCUAAUCAUCAUAGAAGACAAAGGGAAUUCAUAACACACUGCAAAUUUGGCAUGCCAGAGUCUAAAGAAGUCAUAAACUAUGGUACUUUCAGGAAAGUUUCAAUGAACAAUUAAUAAGUCAGAAGCUUGUGAUGAAAGAUAUAGUGUUUACUGUCAUAGAUAUAAUUCAUUAAUCCUUUACCAGAUCUGAGUCCCAAAGACCCAUAAUCAUUAAGAAGUAUUCUGUGACUCCUAACACAGGUCUACCACUGUGAACAAUAAUAUAUAACAUUUCUCACAUUCUUCCUUAAAAGAGAGUAUACUCCUAGAGUAGAAAAACAACAUAGAUGAAAGUGAAUAUUUAGAUAUUUUGAAGGAUCCUAGAAUGUAUAUUUCUCCUUCAGUCAUAAGUAUGAAAAGCCACUGUGGACUCACUGUCAGAGUACAAGAUUCUAGAUCAUAGACUAUUGGUGCAGGCUUGACUUACACUGAUCUUUAUGAAAGCCUAAGGCUACCAUGGAAACAACCUAGAAAAAAGAGAAAAUGUUAAAAUGUUUGCUCACGCACCAAACAUACCUGAAAACAUGUUCAGGGCCCAGUUAGACAUAAGAAGCAUAUACCCCUGUGCUUUAUGGUAAAUACUCAAUGCAUGGCUGACUUCAUUCUUCCCACAAUGAGGCUAUAACAUUCAUAUUAUAUUCACAAGCCUUGACACUUCAUAAACUGCAACUGGUGUCUUGAAUUCUUUAUAUAUUUUGAAAAUGAGCCCUCUGUCACGUGUGGGGUUGGUGCAGAUCCUUUCCUAUUUUGAUGCCUGCCACUUUUUAUUGAUGGUGGCCUUUGUCUUAAAGAAACUCUUCAUUUUUAUGAGGACCCAUUUAUCAAUUUUAGAUCUUAUUACCUGUGCUAUUGGUAUUCUCGUCAGGAAGUUGUCUCCUGUGCCAAUCCAUUCAAGGCUACUUUCCAGUUUCUCUUCUGUCAGGUUCAGUGUAUCUGGAUUUAUGUUGAGGCCAUUGAUUUACUUGACUUGAGUUUUGUUCAUGGUGAUACACAUGGAUCUAUUUGCAUCAUUUAGCAUGUGUAUAUCCAGUUAAACCAGUGCCAAUUUUUGAACAUGAUUUCUUUUGUAUUGUAUAAUUUUGGAUUCUUUGUCAAAAACAGCUACCUAUAGGUGUGUGGAUUUAUGUCUAGGUCUUUGAUUCAUUUUCAUGAACCUAUCUGUCUGUUUUUUUGCUAAUACUGUGCAGUUUUUAUUUCUAAAUCUCUGUAGAGUUGCUUGAAAUCAUUGAUGGUUCUACCUCUCAAAGUUCUUUUAUUGUACAGGAUAAUUUUAGGAGGAAACUAGAUAUAAACAAACCAAAUAAUCCAGUUUUAAAAUGGGGUACAAAUUUAAACAGAAUUCUCAAGCAUCUCAAAUGCCCUAUAAACAUUUAAGGAAAUGCUCAACAUCCUUAGCCAUUAGUAAAGUGCAAAUCAAAAUGAUGAGAUUUUCAUCUUAUAUCUAUCAGAAUGGCUAAGAUCAAAAACAUAAGUGACAUCUCAUGCUAGGGAGGAUGUGGAUCAAGGGGGACUCUCCUCCAUUGCUGGUGGGAGUACAAAUUUGAACAGUAACUUUGGAAGUCACUGUAGUGGUUUCUCAGAAAACUGGGAAUUAUUUUACUACAAGACCCAGAUAUACCAUCCUUGGGGCAUAUACACAAAGGAUGCUCAAUCAUGCCACAAGAACAUUUGUUCAACUAAGUUCAUAGCAGCUUAAUUCAUAAUAGCUAGAACCUAGAUAUCACAUAACCAAGGAAUGGAUAAAAAUGGGCUACAUUUACACAAUAGAGUAUUUCCCAACAGUUAAAAACAAGGACAGCAGAACAUCUUUAAGCCAAUGGAUAGAACAAGAAAAAAAUCAUUCUGAAUGAGGUAACUGAGACCAAGAAAGUCAAACAUAAUAUGUACUCAUUCAUAAAUGGAUAUUAGCUGUAAAAUAAAGUAUAACUAUGCUACAAUCCAUAGACCCAGAAAAACUAUGUAAUAAGGUUGUUUCAUGGGGGGAUGUCCAUAUCACCACAGAAUGGGGAAAUAGAAUGUAUUUCAUCAGUGGGGUGAGGGCAGGUGAUUAUGGGAACAUGAGCAAGCUGAUUAAGGGAAAAUGGAGCAGGAGAGUAAAGAAUGAGACUACUGGAAAGGGGGAUCACUUAGGGUGAGGUAAGAAACCUGGAGUAAGGGAAUGCCCAUGAAUCAAAGGUAGUUUCCUAACAUGAGUUCAUACAUUACCACAAGAGUCAAAAUGAAAUCUCCAUAGUCAGAUUAUUGGAGCCCAAAUACAGGACCCUCCUACAGUAGAUUCAUUGUUCCUCAUACAUCUGUAUAUUGUUCAAUGUGGACACUAGAAUGUUUCAGACAAAAAUCACCCUAAUUGAAAGUUUUGGGAACUAAAGUACAUUCUGUGAUUUCUAGUACUCAGCAUCACAGGGUCUUGUUUAACCUCUCAUCUUAUGUUGAGGGCAAACAAGCCACAUAGUAUUGAUGGUACUGAAGGCUUCCCAGCUGGAGUUAUCUGAGAAGUUUUCCAACAGAUUCAAUGGCUUAAAUAUUAAAACAAAACAAGAUAAUGUUUUUACAGAUGAUUCUUUAGGCAUCAAUAACUUCCAUAAUUGGUAUGCAGAAGAAAAACAAGUUAGUUUUAGUAUAUGCAUCUCACUGAUACAUUUGUUACACUAACAAAAUAUCUUAUUCAAAUCUUAUUAAAGAAUUAUCUAUUUUUGAGGACAAAUAAAUAUGCCCAAUGGAAUUAAUGUACCAAUAGAGAAAACAACAAUCAAUAAACCAUAUGAAUUCUCAUAAAGACAUAUGCACCCAUAUAUGAGCACAUGUACUUAUCAUCUAUGUGUCCAUCUGCCUGUCUAUCUAUCUAUAUCUAUAUGUCCUUUCACUAUAUUUCUUUGUGUAUGCAUGCUUCCCUUUUCAGAUUUCAUCUUUAAGCUUUAUUUUUUAUGGAAAAUUUCAAGGGUUGACAUUUAGACAGAAUGUAAAGAGGUAUUAUUAACUAAGUAGAGGAGAUAGUUAUAAAUAGAGCUUUAAAUGUUGAUUGGAUUUUGUGGAGUUAAUGAAUACCAAGUUAACAAAUAAUAGUAAUACUGAUUGGAUUAAAGAACUAGAAAUGAGAGGUGGAGGGAAUGAAUAUAGAGGAGGGAUAAGAAUAUGCAAGAUCUUAGAACAACUGCAAUAUUUUCUAUUUUCUGUUAUUUUAAUUGAAAUUCAUUGGCUGUACUGAUAUGGCAAGUACUAAACCAACCUGGUUUGAAAUUUCAGAUUGAUGUUUUCAUUAUGUGUAGAGAUUAAGAUGUUAGCAAACAGCGAAGAGAGAGACUGGUGAAGUACACUUUUGUGAUGGGGCUAUCCAAUGGCAUCAGAAUGAAAUGCUGAGACAUUUGUGCAAUAAAAACAGUUCAUAAUUAUUUUUUAUUCUACACUAUACAUGUAUAUAAGUUACAACAAUAUUUCUUAAUGUCUACUCAAUAUAAUCUCAUACAAAUCUAUGAGUUCCAAUGCUUCAUUUAAAUAACAGAAAGUGAGAUUCUAAAAGGAACAACUAAAAGCAGUCACUAGUGGCCAUAACAUAACAGAGAAAAUAAAAGUCUACAAUUAAAAAUGUUGAAUUCCAAUAACAGGAAGAUAUUUCCAUCUUCAGGAAAAUAUCUUAACCUUUAAACAUUGUCAAAUUUCUAAAGUCAUAAGCCAUAUUUCAAAGUAUGGGCUAACAAGAAGGCAAUGUUAGAAUCAUUUCCAAACAAUGACAAAGCACAAAAUCGCAUGUGAUAUAUGGUUUUUCUUUAAAUAUUUUCAAUGAAGAUGGCUAACGUGGAGGGAAUUAGCCAGUCUGAAAUACAAUUUACAGAUAUUGAAUAAUCAUUCUCUCCUUGUAGAUGAUAUAUCUCACUGUAUCCUGCCAGCCAUUAAUCACUUUUAUGGAAUUACAAUUUGGUUUCCACUAACUGUGAUUUACUUAGUGUGGGUUGAUUUAUGUCAUGGAGAAUUUGUUUAGUUAAUGGAACAUUUUAAUUUAUGACAGAAGGAAGCUUUGGAUAUCUCAAUUGCAUUACUAUUGACUGUCAUUCAAAAUUUUCAAUGAGAUGAACAGAGAUAGAAGCAUGUUGUUUCAGUUACACCUAGUACUGGUAGAGCACAGGUUGGGAACUAAAACCAUGAGAAAACAGCUCCAUUUAUAUUUGCUUUUCACAACUUUGAACUUACUAUUGCACUUAUUACUGACAUAUGGUCUUGUCUGUUAAGUCUUUCAGCGAAGGCUUACUGGAAACCAGUGAGAGAUUUCAUAAUGUAGUGUCAUCAGAAUGCUGUUGGCAUCCAGCCCUGGGUCUCCUUUCAUCUGUCCAGAUGGUUCAGAUCCUGUACUCAUUCAGUGUUUUUCAGAGAUAAAGAAUAAAACACUGUCACUACUGGUCUACAGUGCUGAUUUCAGCACAACAUUUGUGGUUCAAGAAGGCCAGCAACAAAUCCUCAUACAACUGGAGAGAAACUGUCAUUAUAUAAAUAGUUCCUUCUGGAGAUAGAAACAUGAAACCUGGAAUAAAAACAAGUUUAGAAGCUCAAAGGAAAUUGGUUCCAGAAAGACAAGACUCAUCCUUGACAGAGAAGCAGGUGCUGCAACAGGAGCAAGAUGCUUAAGCCUCACAUCUAAAGCAUAAACAGGAAACCAUGGUGGAGAACAGAAUGUAGGCAAAGUUUUUUGAAAUAUAAAAGUCUUCUCCCAGGCAUGUGCUUCCUCCAUUAGGCACCACCACCUUAAUGUCUCCAAAAUAUGCCACCAUCUGGGGAUGGGGAAUGUCCUUUUGUAGAUAUGUUUUUCUUAUUUGUUGAUGAUAAAACACUGUUUGGCCAAUAGCCAGGCAAGAAGCAUAGGCAGAGCUACCAAACAAGAAGAAGGUUGGGGAGAGGAAGGCAGAGAGAGGCAGAGAAGAGAUGCCAUGCUUCUAAAGGAGUAACAUGCUGGAUUACUGGCAAGCCACAGCCUCCUGGCAAUGUAUAGAUUCACAUAAAUAGAUUAGUACUUAAGACAGAGCUAGCCAAUAAUAAACCUAAUCCAUUGGCUAACAGUUUAAUAAUCAAUAUGUCUCUGUGUGCUUAUCUGGGGCUAAAGCAUGGAGCAGGGCUUGGGGCACCUGGCGGGACAGAAUCCUCCAUCUUCAAAAUAGGGACCAAGUCUUCAAAUGCUACAUUGUAGGUUAUACUUGUGAUUCAAGUGAGCAAAGAGAGUAAAGGAUAUUUUGUGCUAGAAAAUCUUAAUAUUGUGUCUCAGAAUUUGUUGGAUGAAUAUAAAUCACUGCUUAGAGGGCAAAAUAGUUUUAAAUACACUAUUUACAAAUGAAUUAUAACAUAAAAGUUGAGGAAAGAGAAAUAAAGAACAUAACAAUACAUAUAUAUAUACAUACAUACAUCAUACAUACAUAUAUAUAUAUAUGUAUAUAUAUAUAUAUGUGAGAUAAAACACUAAAAAUGCCUCUUAGAAAAAUGAUGCAACUAUUAUAAGAGUGACUAUAAACAUAAGAAAUCAGAGUUAUGUAUAAUAAGAAGGUUGAUUUGAUUACCGUAGUCAUUAUAGACAGCACAAAUUCAAGAGAAGGUUAUAAAUGGAAAAGCAAAGAAAGAGAUAUCUUGAUAGAGAGACAUUAAGUGGUUAGGGAGAAACCUUGGAAUAGGGAAAUUCCCAGGAAUCCGUAAGCAUGAUCCCAGUUAAGAUGCCUACCAAUAGUGGAGAGGGUGCCUGAACUGGCCUUAUGUGUAAUCAGGUUGGUGAAUCCUCCAUCAUCAUACAGCCUAUAUCCAGUAAGUGAUAGAACCAGAUGCAGAAGAUCCGAAACCAAGCACCAGGCCAAGUUCCUGGAAUCCAGUUCAAAAGAGGGAGGAGGGAUUAUAUGAGCAAGGGAGAUCAAGAUCAUGACGGGGAAAUCUAAAGAGACAGCUGAACCGAGCUCAUGGGAACUCAUGAACUCUAGACCAACAGCCGUGGAGCCUCUGUGUGACUGAGCUAGCUUGUGGGAGCUCAUUCCCUAUGGUGGGAUGCCAUGCUCAGGCUUAAUCCAGGUGGGGAGGGGAUUGGUUUUACAUUAACU
ensembl:lncRNA